AUACGGAGGGUGCGAGCGUUACUCGGAGUCACUGGGCGUAAAGCGUCCGUAGGCGGUCGGGUAAGUCGGGUGUGAAAGCCCCGGGCUCAACCUGGGAAGUGCACCCGAUACUGCUCGACUCGGGUGCGGGAGAGGAUGGCGGAAUUCCCGGUGUAGCGGUGAAAUGCGUAGAGAUCGGGAGGAACACCAGUGGCGAAGGCGGCCAUCUGGCCCGCAACUGACGCUGAGGGACGAAAGCGUGGGGAGCAAACAGGAUUAGAAACCCGAGUAGUCC
rnacentral:rRNA from 1 species